GGGCAUGUAGCGCAGUUGGUAGCGCGCUCGCUUAGCAUCCUGAUUAUGUAAGCGCUUACGUAAUUAUAGUGCGAGAGGCCUCCGGUUCAAAUCCGGACUUGUCCA